rnacentral:rRNA from 1 species
GACGGGACCGCACAAGCGGUGGAUGAUGUGGAUUAAUUCGAUGCAACGCGAAAACCUUACCUACCCUUGACAUGUCUGGAACCUUGGUGAGAGCCGAGGGUGCCUUCGGGAGCCAGAACACAGGUGCUGCAUGGCUGUCGUCAGCUCGUGUCGUGAGAUGUUGGGUUAAGUCCCGCAACGAGCGCAACCCUUGUCACUAGUUGCCAUCAUUUGGUUGGGCACUCUAGUGAGACUGCCGGUGACAAACCGGAGGAAGGUGGGGAUGACGUCAAGUCCUCAUGGCCCUUAUGGGUAGGGCUCCACACGUCAUACAAUGGUCGGUACAGAGGGUUGCCAAGCCGCGAGGUGGAGCCAAUCCCUUAAAGCCGAUCGUAGUCCGGAUCGUAGUCUGCAACUCGACUACGUGAAGUCGGAAUCGCUAGUAAUCGCGGAUCAGCAUGCCCGCGGUCCGAAUACGUUCCGGCCUU